CCUACGGGAGGCAGCAGUGAGGAAUAUUGGUCAAUGGACGAAAGUCUGAACCAGCCACGUAGCGUGAAGGAUGACUGCCCUAUGGGUUGUAAACUUCUUUUAUAUGGGAAUAAAAUGUUCCACGUGUGGGAUUUUGUAUGUACCAUAUGAAUAAGGAUCGGCUAACUCCGUGCCAGCAGCCGCGGUAAUACGGGGGAUCCGAGCGUUAUCCGGAUUUAUUGGGUUUAAAGGGAGCGUAGGGGGAUUGUUAAGUCAGUUGUGAAAGGUUGCGGCUCAACCGUAAAAUUGCAGUUGAAACUGGCAGUCUUGAGUACAGUAGAGGUGGGCGGAAUUCGUGGUGUAGCGGUGAAAUGCUUAGAUAUCACGAAGAACUCCGAUUGCGAAGGCAGCUCACUGGACUGCAACUGACACUGAGGCUCGAAAGUGUGGGUAUCAAACAGGAUUAGAUACCCCAGUAGUC
rnacentral:rRNA from 1 species